rnacentral:rRNA from 1 species
GACGUAGGAUGCAAGCGUUGUCCGGAUUUAUUGGGCGUAAAGAGUUCGUAGGUGGUUCGGUAAGUCUGAUGUUAAAGACCGGGGCUCAACUUCGGGACUGCAUUGGAUACUGGCGGACUUGAGUGUGGUAGAGGCAAUCGGAAUUCCAGGUGUAGCGGUGAAAUGCGUAGAUAUCUGGAAGAACACCGGUGGCGCAAGCGGAUUGCUGGGCCAUAACUGACACUGAGGAACGAAGGCCAGGGGAGCAAACGGG